CGAGGCACUCUCUUCCCUUCCAUAACAAAACAAAACCCUAGCUGAGGUUUUUCUUCUCAUUUCUCCCCUUCUCUCUCUUCUCCUUCUCUUAGAAAACCCUAACCCUAACACUAAAACCCUCCUCUCUCUCUCUCCUUAUUCUUUUUCUCUCUCUAGGUUUUUGCAGUAGCCAUGGCGCAUUUGGGAGGGGGUGCAGAAGCCCACGCCCGAUUCAAGCAGUACGAGUACCGAGCCAACUCGAGCCUAGUCCUGACCACCGACUCGCGCCCUCGCGACACACACGAGCCCACCGGCGAGCCCGAAUCCCUCUGGGGGAAGAUCGACCCGAAGAGCUUCGGUGAUCGCGUCUACCGCGGCAAGCCUCCCGAGCUAGAAGAGAAGCUUAAGAAAUCCAAAAAGAAGAAGGAUCGCGAUCCCCUCUCUUCCUCCGAUCUGGGCCCACAGAAGCGCCGCCGAAUCAAGGAAGAAAGCGUCCUGUCCCUUGCCAGCGAGGGCGUGUACCAGCCGAAGACGAAGGAGACUCGGGCCGCGUACGAGGCCCUGCUCAGCGUCAUCCAGCAGCAGUUUGGCGGGCAGCCGCAGGACAUCCUCAGCGGCGCUGCUGAUGAGGUGCUGGGGGUCCUCAAGAACGAGAAGGUCAAGAACCCCGAUAAGAAGAAAGAGAUUGAGAAGCUGCUGAAUCCCAUCUCGAACCAGCUCUUUGAUCAGCUGGUCUCGAUUGGGCGGCUCAUCACCGAUUACCAGGAUGGGGGCGACGCUGUGGGUUCUGCUGCCAACGGUUCCGCAGCUGGGGAGGCACUCGACGAUGAUAUUGGUGUGGCCGUGGAGUUUGAGGAGGAAGAGGAGGACGAGGAGAGUGAUCUUGAUCAGGUGCAGGAGGAGUCGGACGAGGACAAUGACGGGCUGGAUGCGGACGGUGCAGAUGCGAUGCAGAUGGGCGGUAUUGAUGAUGAUGACGCAGAGCAGGCCAAUGAGGGCAUGAUGCUCAAUGUUCAGGACAUUGAUGCAUACUGGCUUCAGAGGAAGAUUUCCCAGGCCUACGAGAAGAUCGAUCCACAGCACAGCCAGAAGCUUGCUGAGGAUGUGCUCAAGAUCCUUGCCGAGGGUGAUGACCGGGAUGUUGAGAAUCGGCUUGUGAUGCUGCUCGAUUAUGACAAGUUUGACCUCAUUAAAUUGCUCUUGAGGAACCGGCUGAAGAUCGUGUGGUGUACUCGGCUGGCGAGGGCGGAGGAUCAGGAGCAGAGGAAGAAGAUCGAGGAAGAGAUGAUGGAUAUGGGCCCCGAAUUGGCCGCCAUCCUGGAGCAGCUGCAUGCCACUAGGGCGACUGCAAAGGAGCGGCAGAAGAAUCUGGAGAAGAGUAUAAGAGAAGAGGCCAGGCGGUUGAAAGAUGAGAGUGGUGGUGAUGGGGAUAGGGAUAGGAGGGCUGUUGAUCGAGAGGCAGAGAAUGGCUGGCUGAAGGGGCAGCGCCAGCUGCUUGACCUUGACAGCAUCUCGUUCCACCAGGGCAGUCUUUUGAUGGCAAACAAGAAGUGCGAUCUUCCAAAGGACUCUUUUAGGAAGUCCUUGAAAGGAUAUGAGGAAGUCCAUGUGCCAUACAUGAAGCAGCCGCCCCUUGCUGAGGGCGAAGAGCUUAUAAAGAUCUCUGUGAUGCCCGACUGGGCACAGCCUGCUUUUGAGAGCAUGAAGCAGUUGAACAGGGUGCAGAGCAAGGUUUACGAAACAGCCCUUUUCACUGCAGAGAAUAUUCUUCUAUGCGCUCCGACUGGUGCUGGGAAAACCAAUGUUGCAAUGCUGACCAUACUCCAGCAGAUUGCGCUUCAUAGGAACCCGGAUGGGACAAUCAAUCAAAGUGACUACAAGAUUGUGUACGUUGCCCCGAUGAAAGCCCUGGUGGCCGAAGUGGUCGGAAACCUGUCCCAUCGUCUGAAACAUUAUGGGAUCAAUGUGAAGGAGUUGAGCGGGGACCAGACACUGUCCCGCCAGCAGAUUGAAGAGACACAGAUUAUCGUUACAACUCCUGAGAAGUGGGAUAUCAUCACUCGGAAGUCAGGGGACCGGACGUAUACUCAGCUUGUUAGGCUUCUGAUUAUUGAUGAGAUCCAUCUCCUUCACGAUAGCAGAGGGCCCGUGCUUGAAAGUAUUGUUGCAAGGACCGUUAGACAGAUCGAGACUACCGGGGAGCACAUCCGUCUGGUGGGGCUAUCAGCCACACUUCCGAACUAUAAAGAUGUGGCCUUGUUUUUACGCGUCAACAGGGAAAAAGGUCUGUUCCAUUUCGACAAUCGGUACAGACCAUGCCCUCUUGCACAGCAGUAUAUUGGAAUUACGGUGAAGAAGCCUUUGCAGAGAUUUCAGCUGAUGAAUGAUCUCUGUUAUGAGAAGGUCAUGGCUGCAGCUGGAAAGCACCAGGUGCUCAUAUUUGUCCACUCAAGGAAGGAGACUGCUAAGACAGCUCGCGCAAUUAGGGACACAGCUCUCGCUAACGACACCCUUGGUCGGUUCUUGAAGGAAGACAGCGCCAGCCGGGAGAUUCUACAGAGCCAUGCGGAGAUUGUCAAGAGCAAUGAUCUUAAGGACCUCUUGCCGUACGGGUUUGCAAUCCAUCACGCUGGGAUGGCUAGGGUGGACCGUGACCUCGUGGAGGAGCUUUUUGGUGAUGGAUAUGUACAGGUGUUGGUUUCCACAGCUACUCUUGCUUGGGGUGUGAAUCUGCCUGCACAUACUGUGAUCAUAAAGGGCACCCAGAUCUACAAUCCAGAGAAAGGAGCUUGGACUGAAUUGAGCCCGCUGGAUGUAAUGCAAAUGCUGGGUCGUGCAGGGAGGCCUCAGUUUGAUUCCCAUGGGGAAGGGAUAAUUUUGACUGGCCACUCGGAAUUAACAUACUAUCUCUCGCUCAUGAAUCAACAGCUUCCCAUUGAGAGUCAGUUCGUAUCCAGAUUGGCCGAUCAGUUGAAUGCAGAGAUUGUUCUUGGAACAGUUCAGAAUGCUAGAGAAGCAUGUGUUUGGCUUGGGUACACCUACCUGUACAUCCGCAUGCUGAGAAAUCCUUCGCUCUACGGUAUAUCAGCUGAUGUCUUGGAAAGAGAUCCAUCAUUGGAAGAGAGGAGGGCUGAUUUGAUCCAUUCAGCUGCAACUAUCUUGGACAAGAAUAAUUUGAUAAAGUAUGACAGAAAGAGUGGUUAUUUUCAGGUGACUGACCUUGGUCGUAUUGCCAGCUACUACUAUAUUUCUCAUGGAACAAUAUCUACUUACAAUGAGUAUUUGAAGCCAACAAUGGGUGAUAUUGAACUCUGCCGAUUGUUCUCUUUGAGUGAAGAAUUCAAAUACGUCACAGUGAGACAAGAUGAGAAGAUGGAAUUGGCGAAGCUCCUAGAUCGUGUGCCUAUUCCUGUCAAAGAAAGCUUGGAAGAGCCUAGUGCAAAGAUCAAUGUUUUACUUCAGGCAUACAUUUCACAACUGAAGCUUGAGGGGCUUUCCCUGACAUCUGAUAUGGUGUUCAUCACCCAGAGUGCGGGCCGUCUUCUACGAGCUCUUUUUGAGAUUGUAUUAAAAAGAGGAUGGGCCCAUUUAGCUGAAAAGGCCUUGAAUCUGUGCAAAAUGGUAAAUAAGCGCAUGUGGAGUGUCCAGACCCCACUGCGUCAAUUCACUGGCAUUCCAAAUGAAAUUUUAAUGAAAAUGGAGAAGAAAGAUUUGGCUUGGGAAAGGUACUAUGAUCUCUCCUCCCAGGAGAUUGGAGAGCUCAUUCGUUUCCCGAAGAUGGGGAGAACGCUACACAAGUUUAUUCACCAGUUCCCAAAGCUUAACCUGGCAGCUCAUGUUCAGCCGAUUACGCGUUCCGUCUUAAAGGUUGAACUAACAAUAACACCGGAUUUUCAGUGGGAUGAUAAAGUCCAUGGCUAUGUUGAGCCUUUUUGGGUUAUAGUUGAGGAUAAUGAUGGUGAAUAUAUUCUUCAUCAUGAAUAUUUCAUUUUGAAGAAGCAGUACAUUGAUGAAGAUCACACCCUGAAUUUUACAGUGCCGAUUUAUGAGCCACUGCCACCACAGUACUUCAUUCGUGUCGUAUCAGAUAGGUGGCUUGGGUCUCAAACUGUGUUGCCUGUUUCUUUCAGGCAUCUCAUUUUACCUGAAAAAUAUCCUCCACCAACUGAAUUGCUGGACUUGCAACCUUUGCCUGUGACUGCAUUGAGGAAUCCGUCGUAUGAAGCUCUUUAUCAGGAAUUCAAGCAUUUCAAUCCCAUCCAGACUCAGGUGUUUACUGUCUUAUACAACAGUGACGACAAUGUCCUUGUUGCAGCGCCGACAGGCAGUGGGAAAACCAUAUGUGCAGAGUUUUCCUUGCUGAGGAACCAUCAGAAAGGAUCAGACAACAUCAUGCGCGCUGUAUAUAUUGCUCCCAUUGAAGCUCUUGCCAAGGAACGGUAUCGUGAUUGGGAACGGAAGUUUGGGAAGGGUCUGGGCAUGAGAGUGGUCGAACUGACUGGUGAAACGGCCACCGAUUUAAAACUGCUUGAGAAAGGUCAAGUGAUUAUCAGUACCCCUGAGAAAUGGGAUGCUUUGUCUCGGCGGUGGAAGCAGCGGAAGCACAUUCAGCAGGUCAGUCUUUUCAUCAUUGACGAGCUUCAUUUGAUUGGCGGACAAGUGGGCCCUGUCUUGGAGGUAAUAGUUUCCAGGAUGAGGUACAUCUCGAGUCAAGUUGAGAACAAGAUUCGUAUAGUGGCUCUUUCAACUUCUCUCGCAAAUGCCAAAGAUCUGGGGGAGUGGAUGGGUGCUACUUCCCAUGGCCUUUUCAAUUUCCCACCGGGUGUACGCCCCGUUCCUUUAGAGAUACACAUUCAAGGCGUGGAUAUAGCUAAUUUUGAAGCAAGGAUGCAAGCUAUGACAAAGCCGACAUACACUGCUAUCAUUCAACAUGCAAAGAAUGGUAAGCCUGCCUUGGUAUUUGUUCCUACAAGGAAGCAUGCUCGGCUCACUGCACUUGAUUUGAUGACUUAUUCAAGUGCUGAUGGUGGAGAGAAGCCUGCAUUUCUUCGUCAGUCAGUGGAAGAGUUGGAGCCUUUCAUUUCAAAGGUCCAGGAACCUACGUUGAGUGCCACACUCCGUCAUGGUAUAGGUUACUUACAUGAAGGGCUUAGCAACAUGGAUCGGGAAGUUGUGUCGCAGUUGUUUGAGGCUGGAUGGAUCCAGAUCUGUGUUGCGGGCAGCUCACUGUGCUGGGGAAUGCUGUUAUCGGCUCACUUGGUGGUGGUUAUGGGAACCCAAUAUUAUGAUGGGCGAGAAAAUGCUCACACUGAUUAUCCAAUUACUGAUCUUUUGCAGAUGAUGGGUCAUGCAAGCAGACCUCUGUUGGACAAUGCUGGGAAAUGUGUCAUCCUGUGUCAUGCUCCCCGUAAAGAGUACUACAAGAAGUUUGUCUAUGAGGCACUGCCUGUGGAAAGUCAUCUACAACACUUCCUGCAUGACAAUUUGAAUGCUGAAGUUGUUGUUGGAACUAUUGAGAACAAGCAAGAUGCUGUAGACUACUUGACAUGGACAUUCAUGUACCGGAGGCUUACCCAAAACCCAAACUAUUACAAUCUCCAGGGCGUCAGCCAUAGGCAUCUUUCGGAUCACCUUUCCGAGCUCGUUGAGAACACAAUAAGUGAUUUGGAAGCAAGUAAAUGCGUGGCCAUAGAAGAAGAUAUGUAUCUCUCUCCUCUGAACCUUGGCAUGAUUGCAUCAUACUAUUACAUCAGUUACACUACCAUCGAGCGCUUCAGUUCAUCACUGACUUCGAAAACAAAGAUGAAGGGUCUUCUGGAAAUUUUGGCUUCAGCUUCUGAAUAUGCUCAGCUUCCAAUUCGACCAGGUGAGGAAGAGCUGAUAAGAAAAUUGAUCAACCACCAGAGGUUUUCUGUUGAAAACCCCAAGUGCACAGAUCCGCAUGAGAAGGCAAAUGUGUUGUUACAAGCCCACUUCUCAAGACACACAGUGGUAGGAAAUCUAGCAGCCGAUCAGAGAGAGGUUCUCCUCUCUGCUAACAGGUUGCUUCAGGCUAUGGUUGAUGUUAUUUCCAGCAAUGGGUGGCUCAAUCUAGCACUUCUCGCGAUGGAAGUGAGUCAGAUGGUGACUCAAGGCAUGUGGGAGCGUGACUCCAUUCUUCUGCAACUUCCACACUUCACAAAGGAGCUGGCAAAGAGGUGUGAAGAAAAUCCAGGGAAGAGUAUUGGAACAGUCUUUGAUUUGAUGGAGAUGGAGAAUGAUGAAAGGCAUGAGCUGCUCCAGAUAUCAGAGUCACAGCUGCAGGACAUCAUCCACUUUUGCAACCGCUUUCCUAACAUUGAUAUGGUGUACGAGGUGCUGGAUAGUGAUGAUUUGAGGCCUGGGGAAAAUGUUACCUUGCAGGUCACCCUUGAGCGAGACUUUGAGGGGCGUGAGGGGCGCUCAGAGGUUGGACCAGUUGAUGCACCCAGAUACCCGAAAGCCAAAGAAGAGGGGUGGUGGCUUGUGGUUGGUGACAGCAAAAGCCAGCAGCUGCUGGCGAUAAAGAGGGUGUCGCUGCAACGGAGGGCAAAAGUCAAGCUUGACUUCACUGCUCCUGCAGAAGUUGGAAAGAAGUCAUAUAUGCUGUAUUUUAUGUGUGAUUCGUAUCUAGGAUGUGACCAGGAAUACAGUUUUACAAUUGAUGUCAGAGACGCAGCAGAAGGUGAUUGAGAUGGGAGACUGAGUCAAUUGCCAUGGCAGCCUUUUGAUCCUGGGCGAUGAGGGCAUGCUUGAUGUACAAAGUGGGCCUCUGUUUAUCUGCUGAUUUUGCACUUAUGUUCUGGUAUUAUCUCUUUCCAUAUGCAGUUUUUUCCCUUGCAUCAGAACUAUAUCAAUGUGCUGGUCUGAUUUUUGAGGAUUACUCUUUGUGGCAAGGUUACCUGGAUCGAGGGGUGCUCCUGGUGCAUGGUACGAGAAUGGUAUGCUGUUCGCUACUCCCUCCUGUACAUGGUACGCUAGUAGGGGUAUUCUUAUGUUGGUUGCUCCAAUAUACAGUACCAAGUAUACAUUAUAUAGUUAUAUAUACAAAUUAUAUUGUAAUUUAUAUAUGAAAAAAAAUCGUGUUACCCUUAAAAAGAUUAUAUAUGAAGUGAUGAACAUUCCGAUUGCAGUA